AUUGAACGCUGGCGGCAUGCCUUACACAUGCAGGUCGAACGGCAGCGGACCUUCGGGUGCCGGCGAGUGGCGAACGGGUGAGUAACACGUAGGUAAUGUACCCUCUGGUGGGGAAUAACCGUGGGAAACCAUGGCUAAUACCGCAUAUGUCUUUCGAGAUGAAAGCAGCAAUGCGCCAGAGGAGCAGCCUGCGGCCGAUUAUUUAAUCCUAGUUGGUGAGGUAAUGGCUCACCAAGGGUACGAUCGGUAGCUGGUCUGAGAGGAUGAUCAGCCACACUGGAACUGAGACACGGUCCAGACUCCUACGGGAGGCAGCAGUGGGGAAUAUUGCGCAAUGGGCGAAAGCCUGACGCAGCCACGCCGCGUGAGUGAUGAAGGCCUUCGGUUGUAAGUACGUCUGUCGGGAGGGAAGGAAGGGGACGAACCCGUA
rnacentral:rRNA from 1 species